rnacentral:rRNA from 1 species
GACGAACGCUGGCGGCGUGCCUAAUACAUGCAAGUAGAACGCUGAAGGAGGAGCUUGCUUCUCUGGAUGAGUUGCGAACGGGUGAGUAACGCGUAGGUAACCUGCCUGGUAGCGGGGGAUAACUAUUGGAAACGAUAGCUAAUACCGCAUAAUAGUAGAUGUUGCAUGACAUUUGCUUAAAAGGUGCAAUUGCAUCACUACCAGAUGGACCUGCGUUGUAUUAGCUAGUUGGUGGGGUAACGGCUCACCAAGGCGACGAUACAUAGCCGACCUGAGAGGGUGAUCGGCCACACUGGGACUGAGACACGGCCCAGACUCCUACGGGAGGCAGCAGUAGGGAAUCUGCGGCAAUGGACGGAAGUCUGACCGAGCAACGCCGCGUGAGUGAAGAAGGUUGUCGGAUCGGAAAGCUCUGUUGUAAGAGAAGAACGAGUGUGAGAGUGGAAAGUUCACACUGUGACGGUAUCUUACCAGAAAGGGACGGCUAACUACGUG